UGGAUAAAGGAGCUCUGCAGAAAUCAAAAAGUCAGAUCUACAGAAUCUCAAACAUCAGCUUUGCAGAUAGGGGGGAAUAUCAGUGCAUGGCAACCAACCCUCAAAAUUCUCAAUACUCAGAGUACAAGUCAUUAACAGUUUUAUGUAAGGUCAUUUUCUGCUUGGCUUGAAUUUUUAAAAAUGAAAUUAUCUGACAUCAUCUCUGUAUUUAAAGAUGUUCUACUGCUUUCUUCUUUUCUAGAUGGUCCAAAGAAAGUCCUGGUGUCCAUCAGUGAAACAGCAGAGGGCAGUUCAGUGACUCUGACCUGCAGCAGUGAUGCAAACCCACCUGUGCAGAACUACACCUGGUUUAAAGAAGGUGGAAGCUCACCUGUAGGAUCUGGACACAGUUACAGGGCUCUACAGAGUGGAUCCUACUACUGUGUGGCUCAGAAUGAACACGGAUCUCAGAAAUCAGCUGCAGUGACUGUCACUGAAAAAGGAGUUGGGAAUUCAGCUCUAUAUGCAGUUAUUGGAGUCACAGCUGGAUGUGGAUGUUUAUCUGUUAUCAUUGCUGUAUUUUGUGUAAGGAGAAAGAGAAGAGGCAAUUCAGCUGAUGAUGCAAACCAAAAACAGAACGUUGACCCUAAUGCUAAGGACGACACGUACACAGCUCUUGACCCCGUGUCCAGGUCCUCUGAUGAUGUGUACAACACACUCACAGUAAGUGUCUCUUCAGAAACUCAGUUCAGUCAGACGUUCAGAUUUAUAAAGAAUUCCUACAAAGUCCACAUUUCUUCAUUUCUCCUCCUCUGCUUCAUUCUCUCUUUCCCUCACACAGACUGUUCAUUCCAGUCCUUCUGAUGAUCUGUACUCAGCUCUGGAUCCUCAGUCUCGCUCUCCUGAGUACGACACUCUAGCAACUGUCAGAAACCAACACUGAAACCAUCACCAUGGAAACCACUCAAACUGAAGAGAACCACCCACUGAAGUCAGAUGAGAGAGAGAGAGAGA